rnacentral:lncRNA from 1 species
AGGAGUCAUUUGGUGGGUUUUGAGUGAAAUCCAAUCUCUAGAACUAUGCAAUACACCAACCGCUGCAUUUCAGAACGAACUUCGUACGAACCUAAAUUGUCCAUUGUCAUGGACCAAUCCAUAUCGAAUUGAGUCCAAAACUUGGGGAACAUCAUAAUAUGGUGGGAGGAGUCAUUUGGUGGGUUUUAAGUGAAAUCCAAUCCCUACAACUUUGCAAUACAGCAACCACUCCAUUUCAUAACGAACUUCGUACGAACCUGACUUGUCCAAUUUCAUGGACCAAUCGAUAUCGGAUUGAGUCCAAAACUUGGGGAACAUCAUAAUAUGAUGGCAGGAGUCAUUUGGUGGGUUUUGAGUGAAAUCCAAUCUCUAGAACUAUGCAAUACACCAACCGCUGCAUUUCAGAACGAACUUCGUACGAACCUAAAUUGUCCAUUGUCAUGGACCAAUCG